GGGCCCGCACAAGCGGUGGAGUAUGUGGUUUAAUUCGAAGAUACGCGCAGAACCUUACCAACACUUGACAUGUUCGUCGCGACUCUAAGAGAUUAGAGUUUUCGGUUCGGCCGGACGAAACACAGGUGCUGCAUGGCUGUCGUCAGCUCGUGUCGUGAGAUGUUGGGUUAAGUCCCGCAACGAGCGCAACCCUCACUUUUAGUUGCCAUCAUUAAGUUGGGCACUCUGAAAGAACUGCCAGUGAUAAGCUGGAGGAAGGUGGGGAUGACGUCAAGUCCUCAUGGCCCUUACGUGUUGGGCUACACACGUGCUACAAUGGUAUCUACAACAGGAAGCAAGACUGCGAAGUUAAGCAAAUCCUUAAAAGAUACCUCAGUUCGGAUUGCACUCUGCAACUCGAGUGCAUGAAGCUGGAAUUACUAGUAAUCGUGGAU
rnacentral:rRNA from 1 species